GAGCACGAAGGUUGGCUAAUCCUGGUCGGACAUCAGGAGGUUAGUGCAAUGGCAUAAGCCAGCUUGACUGCGAGCGUGACGGCGCGAGCAGGUGCGAAAGCAGGUCAUAGUGAUCCGGUGGUUCUGAAUGGAAGGGCCAUCGCUCAACGGAUAAAAGGUACUCCGGGGAUAACAGGCUGAUACCGCCCAAGAGUUCAUAUCGACGGCGGUGUUUGGCACCUCGAUGUCGGCUCAUCACAUCCUGGGGCUGAAGUAGGUCCCAAGGGUAUGGCUGUUCGCCAUUUAAAGUGGUACGCGAGCUGGGUUUAGAACGUCGUGAGACAGUUCGGUCCCUAUCUGCCGUGGGCGCUGGAGAACUGAGGGGGGCUGCUCCUAGUACGAGAGGACCGGAGUGGACGCAUCACUGGUGUUCGGGUUGUCAUGCCAAUGGCACUGCCCGGUAGCUAAAUGCGGAAGAGAUAAGUGCUGAAAGCAUCUAAGCACGAAACUUGCCCCGAGAUG
rnacentral:rRNA from 1 species